rnacentral:lncRNA from 1 species
UAUGAAUUUUAUGAGCAGGCUCGUCGAUUCAAGAGAUAUCACGGAGCUCCAACUGAAGCAGUUAGAUUGUGAGAUCAUAAUAAGGAAAAAGGAGGCCCUGCAGCCACCUCCAGCAGCUCAAGUCAUUUCAAUGCCUCCAUCGUAUCAACAUGUAAUGCUACCACCUCCACCAUCAGCUGCUCCUCCUCCAAGUUCAGCUCCUGCACCUGCAUUACCUUCCCCUGCAAAGGCAGUCACGUCAUCUCAUCCAGCAUUUAAAUGCCCCAUGGCAGGUACCUUUUAU